rnacentral:tRNA from 1 species
CAGCACGUAGCUAAAUUAGAAUAGCAUCCCCCUUACACUGAGAAAGUACCUGUGCAAAUCAGGUCGUACUGA